GUGGUCCGGAGUCGGAGGGUUAU
rnacentral:miRNA from 1 species